GCCCGCCUAGCUCAAUCGGAUAGAGCGUCAGACUCUUAUGGCGGGAUCUGAAGGCUGCGAGUUCGACCCUCGCGGUGGGCU